UUGUAGUCUGCAACCCGACUACAUGAAGCUGGAAUCGCUAGUAAUCGCGAAUCAGAAUGUCGCGGUGAAUACGUUCCCGGGUCUUGUACACACCGCCCGUCACACCAUGGGAGUUGGAAAUGCCCGAAGUCAGUGGCCCAACCGGGAAGGGGGGAGCUGCCGAAGGCAGGUUCGAUGACUGGGGUGAAGUCGUAACAAGGUAAC
rnacentral:rRNA from 1 species